UUGCGACACGAAGGGUGUUUUCGUGCAACCUGCUAUAUACGAAGCUUUCGGUUUGACAGUUGUUGAGGCCAUGACCUGUGGUUUGCCAACCUUUGCUACCUGCAAUGGUGGCCCUGCUGAGAUCAUUGUACAUGGAAAAUCUGGCUUCAACAUUGACCCUUACCAUGGUGAUCAGGCUGCUGAGCUCCUUGUUCAGUUCUUUGAGAAGUGCAAGGCUGAUCCAUCUCACUGGAUCAAGAUCUCCGAGGGAGCCAUGCAACGUA
rnacentral:lncRNA from 1 species